UGAAUCUCAUCAAGUAGCCUCUGUUGAGUGCACGAAUUUUCUAAAUCAUGAGUGUCAUCCCGCAUAGAAAAAUACAUUUCGCAAUGUGGUUAUGACUGUAAUCAUAAUUUAAGCCAUACUGUAGCUAUUUGUGUUAUUGUUCACAAUCAGUACCACCAUUAGUUUUGCUAGAUGUUUUACUGUAUAAGACAUUGACAUAACAAUACCACGUACAGUGAGUGUAUGAUAAACAGGUGUUUAAUUGUUUGUAACUGUCCAUCUAUCUGAAGCUCAACUGUUAAUAACAUUAAAAAUUGUAUUAGAACAGUUUCACAAAAGGGUAACAGUUUGGUGAAUUGUCCAUAUUUUGUUCCAUACAGUGCACGGGCAAAGCUAAAAAAGCGCGGUGUCACAAAGACAAUAAAAAAAAUGUAUUGUUUCACUGUGAAUCAACCAUACCUGGUAAGUUGAAACUUCGAUAACGGAAAAGUGAUUACAUAGGUGUUGGUGAGAUCGUUAUUAUCGGUUUCAAGCUCGUGAGAAAAGAUUGUUUGUGUCAAGUUGCUGGUAAAAAUUCAACAGAGAAGGAGUUUUAGACGUAUUUUUCCGAAAAGUGUUUUUUUUUUCGGAGUUUUGGUCUGCUUUCAAUCAAGCCUGUGACCGUGUGUAACCGUGUGGGGUUUUAGGCUGCACCUAUCAUUGGCAUCAGCGUUUCGCAUCCGGAACAAGGACCAGUUUUGUCAAUUCCGCAUAUCCUCCAGAAUGGUAUUCGCUGUCUCCUGCUGCAAGUCGAGCAGCAAGCGGUCCGUAUAACACAAGGCGACGCAUAACAAAAAUUUCAACUGCACUAUCCUAACACUCAACUUGUUUCUCCAGCCACUGCGGACGAUGUGCUUUCGGAUGCUGUUCGUUAUUGAUUGCUUCUCCCAAAAAACGACCGGUAUGCCGGCUAGAAAAAAGGAAAACCCGGAAGAAAGCUGCAGGUAUCCCUAUAACGUGGUCACAGGAUGUCGGAAAUGAUCGCUCUCAUCGGGGAUCUUCCUGAAUUGAAUUGUUUAGUUGCGUUAUGAUUGUUCAGAGUGCUAUUUGAUCCAAAGUUGAGCAUCAAAACGGAAAACCGAUUGCUGUAUGGCCGGAUUGUACUGUGUAAUUUCAUAUUGUGUGAUAUUAAAAACUAUCACUUCUAAUGUAUAUUUGGCGUUUGUUUCUUUUUUAUUGUAUUUAUUGUUUAAUGCAACAAAUAGUGCAUGUGGUCUGAAUGAAAUUCAGAUUGUAACAACUACAACCAAGUAAUUUUAUAAUUAUCGUUAUUAUCUGUCAUUUUAUAAGUAUCAUUAUAAAUAACCUACAAGAUCAAUAUUGAUGAAGCUGUAUCUGUUGCAAUCGAAGAAAUAUUAAUCUACUUUUAUAUUAUUGCUUCUUUUUAUUUAUUCAUUAUUUUUUGUUUUA